UUCCGGUUGAUCCUGCCGGAGGUCACUGCUAUCGGUGUUCGACUAAGCCAUGCGAGUCAAAUGUUCUUCGUGAACAUGGCGUACUGCUCAGUAACACGUGGAUAACCUGCCCUUAGGUCUGGCAUAACCCCGGGAAACUGGGGAUAAUUCCGGAUAGAUCAUCGAUGCUGGAAUGCGCUUUGAUCCAAAGCUAUUGUGCCUAAGGAUGGGUCUGCGGUCUAUCAGGUUGUAGUGGGUGUAAUGUACCUACUAGCCUACGACGGAUACGGGUUGUGGGAGCAAGAGCCCGGAGAUGGAUUCUGAGACAUGAAUCCAGGCCCUACGGGGCGCAGCAGGCGCGAAAACUUUACAAUGCGGGGAACCGCGAUAAGGGGACACCGAGUGCCAGCAUCCUAUGUUGGCUGUCCAUAUGUCUAAAUCACAUGUGUUAGCAAGGGCCGGGCAAGACCGGUGCCAGCCGCCGCGGUAACACCGGCGGCCCGAGUGGUGGCCACUAUUAUUGGGUCUAAAGGGUCCGUAGCCGGUUUGGUCAGUCUUCCGGGAAAUCUGACGGCUCAACCGUUAGGCUUUCGGGGGAUACUACCAGGCUUGGGACCGGGAGAGGUAAGAGGUACUACGGGGGUAGGAGUGAAAUCUUGUAAUCCCUGUGGGACCACCAGUGGCGAAGGCGUCUUACCAGAACGGGUCCGACGGUGAGGGACGAAAGCUGGGGGCACGAACCGGAUUAGAUACCCGGGUAGUCCCAGCUGUAAACUAUGCUCGCUAGGUGUCAGGGACGGUGCGACCGUUUCUGGUGCCGCAGGGAAGCCGUGAAGCGAGCCACCUGGGAAGUACGGUCGCAAGGCUGAAACUUAAAGGAAUUGGCGGGGGAGCACUACAACGGGUGGAGCCUGCGGUUUAAUUGGACUCAACGCCGGAA
rnacentral:rRNA from 1 species